GCUCCGGCUGCCGCACGGAACUCCGACGGACAUUCAGCGUUGAUCCUUUUAGUUUUCGCCACAAUCAUUGUGGUUGGUGAGUUGAUGGCAACAGUGAAAUGUCUCUCUGACUUAACUGUACAAAAUAAUACCAACCUGGCUGGAAUUGGUGCGGUUUUCGCGAGGCUAUUAAGGCUAGAAACGGAAAAAACAAGCGAAUGUCGAAUAUAAAACCAAUUUCACCUCGGUGGUUUCCGACCAUGCUUUCGACAGAGGAAAGCAUGGUCGGAAGUUGUGACGUCCAUAAAGAGAAGCUUUUUUCAUGUUAUGAUCAUGUGAUCUCCAUACGAAUACAAAGCGUAGCCUUACAGAGUUACCAAUUAUUUUUGUCGUUGAUAUUGUGGCAAAGCGGCUAUGGCAAUAAGUUUUAUCACGGACUACUUCUCUGAGCGGAACAAUAUUUUGCCAGGAAGUGGUUGCACGGUGCAUCACGUGAGCGUGCUCCACCAAUAAGGUGGCUGCAACUUUGUCAACACAGAAGGCAACAUGGCGCUGCACAUGGAAAGAGCUGGCUAUAUUCCAUUAGAUUAUUGUUUCUUUUAUUUCACGAAGAUUUAAAAUGCAUACCUCUGAAUGGUGUCGGCGUUGAAAAGCGGAAUAUUAGACGUCUACAUAUAGACUUUAUUUUAUAGCGAUUAUGGCUAAUAAAAUGAUUUUAGUCCAAUAUCAAGAGAUCAGUUCUGCAACAUGCCGUUAUUGUUUUAAAUAAAUAACUUUGGAUAAAAUUAAUUUGUUGAAAUUUGGUCUAUAAGCGAUGUCUCUUAACGGCUAUCAUAAAUGAUUUAGUUCAAUAUUUGGAGAUCAGUUGUGCAACAUGCAUUUAUUGUUUUAAAUAAAAAAAAUAUUAAAUGAUGGAUAAAAUUCUGUUGUCUAUAUUCGGUCUAUGUCUAAACGUUGAAAUGCAGUAGAGAUUUAGACGUCUAAAUCUCGUAUAUAUUUAGACUGGACUGUAUAUCGCUCAACGGCUAUCAUAAUUAUAUCAGCUCAGUAUUUGAAGGUCAGUUAUGCAACAUACAGUUAUUGUUUUAAAUAAAAAACUUUUGAAUGAUGGAUUUAAUUCAGUUGUCUAGAUUCUGUCUGUAUCUAGACGUUGAAAUGCGGUAGAGAUUUAAACGUAUAAAUCUCAGAUAUAUUUAUACUAUACUGAAUAUCGCUCAACGGCUAUCAUAAUUAUUUUAGCUCAGUAUUUGGAUAUUAGCUAUGCACCUUACAGUUGUUUUUUUUAAAAAUAAAUAGUUAUAGAAUAAUUGAUUAAACUGCAACGUCUAAAUUCCGUGUAAAAACAGACGGCAUCUAGACGGUUGAAAUUAGGUCUAAAAAAAUCUAGACUUCUAAUAGACGUCUAUUGUUCGGUGGGAUCAGUAGAACCAAAAGGCAAAAAUUCAAUCAGUGCACGUUUUCCCAGCUCAGGAUAUUCCUUCUCCGCCUCACACCAAAACUCACCCCUUAAACAUUGGACGUCGUAUGGACGUCCAGAUCAUGUCCAUAUUGCGUCCGUCCGUCCAAGACCAAAUUUGGACCUAUUUUCGACGUCCAAAAUAGGUGAGGUAUUUGGACGUCUUAUUAUGACCCAAUUUCGACGUCUAUAUGCAGGUGAAGAUCUGGACGUCUAAAUUAGGACCCAAUUUCGACAUCUAUAUGCAGUUGAACUUUUGAAGUUGGGAAGGGUCACUUUUUAGGAUGUCUAAGUCAAGUUUAGUAUAUCCUUAUAUAGGCCUAACCUCUUAAGCCAUGGCCAUAUUUUCAGAAAAAAAUGCCGGGAUUUCUUCGGCCCACCAGUGAGCCGACCGGGCUUAAGAGGAUAAUGAUGAUGAUAAUAAUAUUGAUAAUAAUAAUAAUAAUAAUAAGCUGUUACUUGUAGCUAAUGAUUUCAGUGAUCAAUGCUUAGGCCUAAAACGGUAAAACAAAUAUAAGUAAAAUUCUGAUUGUUUACAUUUUCCUCUUUUUCUAGUGUUUAAGGGGAAAAAAACAACCGCGUUUGAACUGAUUACGCCAUUUUGAUUGGCUGAGGGAUUGCGUCUCAACGUGCAAGAACCACUCCCAUUGGCCCAGGUAUUGUGCCGCACAAAAACCGUAGAAGAAGAAGAAGAAGGCGGAAGCAGUACGCCGCUACUGUGCACAAAUUCGAAGUCUCAAACAGCGCUUAUAUUUGCAGCCUUGCCUCGCCUGGAUAGUGCCAGUGGGUCAGGAGGAGGAAGGCAAAAGUCUCAGGUUCUCAGUAUGAAGCCAGUGGUCGUGCCACUCAUGGGCAUCGCUCAACGUCCAGAUCCCACCACCACCACCCAGCAUCCAGCAGCAAGAGUGGGUCAGGAGGAGGAAGGCAAAAGUCAAGAUCGGAUGCAGAGAGUGAGAGGAGGACCUUUCCGCUGCCAUUGGACGACUCUUCACCAAUGCACUGAUGGCGCAGUUUAAAAUGAAGGGCAAAGGGAAGAGGGGCAAAAAGCCCUGGAAAAAAAAAAAGAUUUAUGCAGCCAUACAAGAUGGAGUCAUGAAGUACAACGGCAAUGCAACUCUGGAGCUCAUGAGGCAACAUGCUGCCGACCACUUGAAACAUGCACCCCAAAGGGUUGGGGGGGGGGCUUCUCAGUUACCCAGGGCUGAAUGUUCUAUGUUUCUGUUUUUAAUACAUUUUAUGGGUACAAAUGUUCUGCUUUGUUUGUAGUUUAUUUUUAGUUCGAAUGUUCUGUUUGUAAUACAUUUUGAGUGCAUGUUCUGCUUUGUUAGUAAUAUUUUAUUUUUGGUAAUAUUUAAUUGUUUGUAAUACAUUUUGAGAAUUUUGAGAAUGUUCUAUUUUUUUAAUACAUUUUUAGUGCAAGUGUUAUUGAAAUUUUUACAAUAUAAAUUGUUUAAAAAAAAUUGGAUUGUGAUUUAUUAACCUGUCUUUAGUCCAGAAGGUAGGAAACAGUUUCCUGUACCUGUGAAUUUUACCUUGACUUGUCAGCAGGUUGGAUGUCAUCUUUGUGCAUUUUGAGUUAGCAUCUGCUGGUGAUUGAUUCAAAUGAAGCAAUAGGCAAAUAACCUAGGACAGCAUGCCACCUUCUACACUGGGACUACAGUUAUGCGUAGUAGAAGCAGUGGACGUAAAAGAAGUCCCACAAAGACCACAUUAGGACUAGAAAUAGUUCUCAUAUGGACGUCACAAAUCGACGUUCAGAAGGCGUCUAAAAAAGACGUUGCCUACGUUCUGCACCUUCAGAUGACCCGAAUUAAACGUCCAAAAAUGACGUUGAAAAGACGUCGUCUGGACGCCCCUUUGCGCAGUGGGCAGUCAAUGUCUUCUCAACAUAUGCCAUUUUCAGCCCACUGUCAGAUGAUAAAUCCAUCAGAUACUCCUGCAGCCUUGCAGGGAGGUUGUUGUUGCUCUCACUCACAAUAAAUGGGUUCCUCAACCAAUCCAGUCUUUGUGACUUAUACUAAAUAAAAAUACUGACUGAAAUCAGUGCUGAGUUUGGACAGAUGUGCUUGCUCCAGUUUCACCACUGGACUCCUGGCAACAUCAGUGGUGGCAAGAUGGGCACUGAGUAGUGGAAAACAGCUCACGUCUCCCUCAUCACAUUUCCUCUCCCAUAGUGUGAGCUUUUUUGUGAAUCCCUCAACUUUGUCAUACAUUUUCAGGAUGUGUGACUUCUUCCCCUGAAGUGAUAGGUUGAGCUCGUUGAGUUUGCCUUCUUGUCAAUCAUAAUUUCAGCCAUAACAGUGGCUGCGAGGAGAACGAGUUCUUCAACUAUUGAGUGAGGCUUUUUGGAUUUCGCCACCAGCAGUGAAACGGUGUGCUUUGCUUGAGACACUCGUGGCUUUCAUCAUCACAGUUUCACCUGACUUAAAUUCCGACAGGUCACGUGACCAAGUUUUCAGUUUGAGAGUCUGGCAGGCAUGUCGGAUAAACACAGUGGCUCGGCCACAAACUUUCCCUUUUAUUUCAAAAACACUACAGCGAAAAGUAUUUCUGAAAGCAUUUGAGGCGAGAAAUAAUCUGUGCAGCAGCUGAAUCUGUCCUGGUUUUAUUUCACCGAUGCCUAGUUUAGAUGUUUAAGGACACGAUGUGGGGACUCUCCGCACGUCGGAGUCCAGUCUAUUCCAUGUAAAUGAGCUACAGCCCUCUCUGCCCGAAUAAUGACUCCUUAGUAGAGGUCUGCACACUCCAAAGGACCUCAGCCUCCUCAAAUAAAAUAGAGAAAUAUUAAUAUCACACUCAAUGGCCACACAUUUUUUUUCUGGUAUAUAUUGAAAUGUUUUAUCUGUAGGACAUAAUGGUCAUAAAAGAACAGCAGAACACAUGACAAAUAUUUUGUGGUUGGUCGGCUGGAAUCUCUGAGAACAAUUUCCAAAUACAUAAAUAACUCUUGUUGACUGAACACUUCUUCUUUGUGAGGUGUUUUUAAAUGCAUUUUCUUCUAGAUAAUGCUUGUGAAAGAUGUAAAAUAAACUUAAACAGACAGUA